UAGGGAAUCUUCCACAAUGGACGCAAGUCUGAUGGAGCAACGCCGCGUGAGUGAAGAAGGUCUUCGGAUACGUAAAACUCUGUUGUUAGAGAAGAACACGAGUGAGAGUAACUGUUCAUUCGAUGACGGUAUCUAACCAGCAAGUCACGGCUAACUACGUGCCAG
rnacentral:rRNA from 1 species